rnacentral:rRNA from 1 species
UAGGGAAUCUUCGGCAAUGGACGGAAGUCUGACCGAGCAACGCCGCGGGAGUGAAGAAGGUUUUCGGAUCGUAAAGCUCUGUUGUUAGAGAAGAACGUUGGUAGGAGUGGAAAAUCUACCAAGUGACGGUAACUAACCAGAAAGGGACGGCUAACUACGUGCCAGCAGCCGCGGUAAUACGUAGGUCCCGAGCGUUGUCCGGAUUUAUUGGGCAUAAAGCGAGCGCAGGCGGUUCUUUAAGUCUGAAGUUAAAGGCAGUGGCUUAACCAUUGUACGCUUUGGAAACUGGAGGACUUGAGUGCAGAAGGGGGGAGUGGAAUUCCAUGUGUAGCGGUGAAAUGCGUAGAUAUAUGGAGGAACACCGGUGGCGAAAGCGGCUCUCUGGUCUGUAACUGACGCUGAGGCUCGAAAGCGUGGGGAGCAAACAGG